rnacentral:lncRNA from 1 species
UUUUACGAAAGCCCUCUAAUCGAGUGUGGCAAGGUAUUUUGUGUACGUAAUAGCCAGUAACGCAUUGUUCACCUCUUGUGGAGCACAGUGCACUACAUUUUGUGUGAUUUAGAGCAGUAUGGCGCAUAGAAUAGUAGUUGGCCGGACCAGAUCGCAGAACAGCAGUACCAACACUAUUGGCCGCAACUCUGUAGCAGAGUCAAUUGAUUAUGACGCAAAACAUACGAGUAGUGGAGAGGGAUCCAGGGCUUCAAGAUACUAUCUGAGGACACGCGAAGGAAGCUCAAUAGUGGAGCGACACAACAAGGCAUAUGAAAUGGUGACGAAAGCAAUAAACGGUACAAACCACCAACUGCACACCACUGAGCAAUGGAAGGAGCAUCAAGCUUAAAAGAGAUAUCUACCCCAAUUGGACAGUCAAAAAAGAACGACCAAACACCACAUGUAAUCUCUACCACACUCAGUGGCUUGUUGACAGGUACACCACAAAAACAACAGUACCCACAGGAGGACAACCAAGAAGAGAUUCAAAGGGAGACCACCCCAGACACCACACAAGUGAACCAAUACUUCCACACCCCGGGCAUAGAGGAAACAAGAGGAAUAGAACUUAGUGCAAACUCAUUUCCAUUGGGGGGGCGGGGGGGGGGGGACACAGACAGGGUAUUCUUUAUUCACUUACGGAAACAGGUACAGAACCCCAGGGCAAAAGCGGAACAAGUCAUACAUCAACAUGGGAACCUGAGAUUGGGCCAUAAAACCAACGAAAAAGAGGCAGUAGCAGAAAUGGUGUGUAGAGUGUUCAUAGACCUUCUCGAAUUCGUGGAAGAAUUUUACACAAUACAGCCCCGUUACCAAACAUCAGGUAACACCUAUGUUAUUAUCAAACCCAUCAAUUGAAGGACAACCAAAAACUAGGGAAAUAGAUAGUGCGGAACCGGAAAAGGUAGAGAGAACCACCACUGCACCCCAUCCGACAAUCAAUGCUACUAUCGACCCUGAAAUCCGUCAGAAGCACAAAGACAAAAUGCAACAAUUUCAAAAAUAUAUGGUCCUAGGAGUACUGAGAGAACGCAGCCCGGGCAUCCGUAGACUUACAAUAUGGGCUAAAACUAAACUGCAUCACUCCUUCAAGUGUCUCAUUAUCCGAGAUAACAACUACAUAGAGCUACAAUUCACAUAGGAGGAAGGCAUAAGACAAACCCUUAGUACCUAUUCCUACAGAGUAGAUAAUAGGGAACUAUGCUGCUACCCAUGGUCCCCAUAUUACAAAAAAGACGAACUAGCAUCACAUAAGCAACUUAAGACAGCGCUUUGAGCACAAGUGAAUAGUCUCCCCCACUCUCUCCGAACCAAAAUAUUCUUCACUCGAUAUUGCACCAAACAUUUAAGAUACUUCUGAUCGACGAUAGAGAAACAUAUAGAGCGAAACUAUCCGGACCAAGAGUAAGGAUCUUGACUGACAACACAGAGGACCUCCCUAGGUCAAUCUGGAUCAUGAGAAUGGACACGGAUACAGAAAAUGAGUAUAUGAUUGAAUACAAAGGAUUUAAUGAACAGUGCAACCGGUACCACUCCUAUGAACACAAUGUAGGCAAAUGCACUUUAGUCAGACAACUAGCGAGCGAAAGGAUUGCAGAACGGAAAAAGCAAAGGCAAAGAAAAUCUAUUCGCCACACAAACUCGUCAACAGAUCCCAAGGAACCUACAAAACAACAGAAGCAUAACAGAGUCAGUUCUAAGAAACAAAACUUCAUCUGGCAGCCUAAAGCUAAACUAGAAGCCAGAGAAGAAAGCAAUCCAGUAGCAGCCGGGCACAUUGGUUACUCAACGACCCAAAUACACUAAUUUCUGGGAAGCCCUAGGCUAGAAUUCCCCGACUGAAACAGAGUGCUCAGCUGCUAUCGUCUCCAUAUUCCUAAGGACAAGGACCGAUAAACUAUAUGAGACUCCAAUCAUCCACCAAGCUACAAAAAGAGGCCACCCACCCAUCUCGUUCUACCUCACACAACAACAAAAUCUUACAAGAUGGACGACAGAACAAGCACGCCUCCAUCUGACAAAUAAAAUAAUGCGCCACCUACGGUAGAAAACCAUACUAAAAAUUCAACACAUCAAUUCCAUUCGAAGCUGGACAGACGCAACAUGGAAGUACAAGUGGACAAGCCCUUCAGACAAUACAACAUUAGGUAUCAUCACCCCGCUUAUCACAUAUGAUGAAAAUGUAUGCACACUUAAGGCAGCCCAUUGCUACAAGUGGCAACUUUUCCGGACACAGAUCCAACAUCUUAUCUCCCAAGACACCCAUAUAGAAGCACAACAAUAGGAAAUAGGAAAACAAGGACUGCAUUUCUUUUUUGGAUGUAAUCCACCAAAGGUACCGACAUCGGAACCCAUAACACAGAUCAGACUAGAAUCCAACAUACAAUAAGAGAGAGGGUUCCCCAGAAGGGAAGCGGAGGGGGAGUCAUGUACUCCAUCAAUAGGAUACUAGGGCAAUGAAUGAACCCAUUUGCAUUGCAACUCUGAAUGUCCAAAGCCUGGGAUGAGACUUCGCAGGUAUCAAAAAAAGAAGAAAAAUUAGAGAGUUCUUUUUGAAAUCAAAACCAAGGCCAGACAUCCUCUUACUCCAAGAGCACAAGCUCUCGCUUGAGGAAUGCAAAUCCAAGACACAUCAAAUCGACUUAAUGAAUAACACAACAUUAUGGAGUGAGGCAUCUUACUCAGCCAACCAAGCCUCAUACCAAGGAAGCAUUGGCAUGCUACUAUCUAAUAGAAUCACCCUCAUUGGCAUGUGAAUAUGGCAUAAUAACUCCUGGAAGAGCACAAUACGCUACAUUCAAGUGGACCCAAGAUCUCAAAAUAUGAGUGAUCAACAUAUACGAAUAUAACAAAACAGGAUCCCGAGCUAGUCUAUGGAACCAAAUGCGGAGAUUUCAGCUACCCCCAGCACAUUGCAUUCUAGCAAAAGACUUCAAUGCCAUUGAAUACCUUGAGGACAAACAAGGUGGAACCCCAACCACAGGAAGAGGACAACAAGAAAUAAUGGCCUGGACCAACCUACUCCUACACCAAGUGGUUACAGAUUGCUU